rnacentral:ncRNA from 2 species
GGCGCUCUAACGGGGUGCUGGCACAUGCCGGCUGAGAGGCCUGGGAAACCCGGCCAACCCGCUGAACCUGAUCCGGUUUGCACCGGCGGAGGGAUUAGACGCUUUACCCCG